UACAGGGGGUGCAAACGUUGCUCGGAAUUAUUGGGCGUAAAGCGCGCGUAGGCGGCCACUUAAGUCGGAUGUGAAAGCCCUUGGCUCAACUGAGGAAGUGCACCCGAAACUGAAUGGCUUGAGUACUAAAGAGGGUCGCGGAAUUCCCGGUGUAGAGGUGAAAUUCGUAGAUAUCGGGAGGAACACCAGUGGCGAAGGCGGCCUUCUGGACCAAUACUGACGCUCAUGCACGAAAGCGUGGGGAGCAAACAGG
rnacentral:rRNA from 1 species